rnacentral:rRNA from 1 species
UACAGAGGGGGCAAGCGUUAUUCGGAUUCACUGGGCGUAAAGGGUGCGCAGGCGGCCGUGUGUGUGAGGCGUGAAAGCCCGGGGCUUAACCCCGGAAUUGCACCUCAAACUACACGGCUAGAGCAUUGGAGAGGGUAGCAGAAUUCAUGGUGUAGCAGUGAAAUGCGUAGAUAUCAUGAGGAAUACCAGAGGCGAAGGCGGCUACCUGGACAAUUGCUGACGCUCAGGCACGAAAGCGUGGGGAGCAAAAGGG